AACUGUAGUCCACCUCCCUCUACCUGGUCCACAUCCUCAGGUGAGACCACUUCACCUGGAGAACAAGAACCCUGAAGAAAGGAAUCUGAAGGAAAUGAACUAGAGACAAAUAUGCAAAGUGUUGGGUGAACUCCCAUCGUCCAUCUGCUCUCUGAUCACACAGACAGUUGCAGGUAGCCAUUGCCUGAGAUCACAUGAUGUGGUUUUGUUACAUGUGCAAGGACUGACUUAGGGACGAAAGCUUUUAUGUGCGCAGCUCCUCUAACUUGGAACAGUCUUCAAACAUAAUUGAAACUGAGUAAUUUGGUUCCACUGCCUGUUUUUAAAGCUCGGAUAGAUGCAAUGAUACUUGAUACUGUCGCUAGGUCUCCCUCGAUGAUCUCAAUGGGACCACCUGGUUAACUAAAGGUUUGAAUGAGUCCUCAGGUCAGACCACUUCACCUGGAGAACAAGAACCCUGAAGGAGAGGAGGAAAUCAAAGAAACAUCAAAUCCCAACUUAAAAAGAAAUGGCAGGACGAAUGGAGGAGUUCAGGGCAGACAUCUUUAUAAUGUUCAAAAGAAAGUUGGAGAAACAAGAGAAGUAAAGAAGAGGAGGACGACAUUUCCAGAAUGAGAUUUGGUCACACUGGGCUAAAUAUUAAAUAACACAUUAGUUAUGAAAGAACAUGCAACAGGUACAUUUUGGUCAUUUUGAAACAGUGGAGCACAUUUUCUGCAAUGUCUCAAAUACCAUCAAGAACGUGUAUUCGGCUACUAAAGGAAGCACUGCACAGAAAUCAAACGGAAUUAAAUAUAGUAGAGACGUUGAGAAGGAGUUCAGGUGAUGUAGCAUACAGGGCAGUGUUUAGGCUUUUAGAAAAGGACAGGAAUUAUAUUAAGAAUUUAGAUUAACACCGAGCUGACCCACUCCAUUUCUGAAGGUGGCGGUAAAUGCUCCUGAAAGCUGUUUCCCAUCCGAACAUCCGAAGAAGAAGAAACAAUCAGGAUAAUAUCUGAGAUGAGAGGGAACCAGAACCGGAGAGGAGCCAACAGGAGGCCUUGCGACAGGAUCUCUACAAAAUGGAGCUGAACAUUAAAUGGCCUCAGGACAGGAUCUCUGCAGAAUGGAUCUGGACAUUAAAUGGUGGAAGAAGAAGUCUCUGAGCUGGGAACCUCCUCAGAUCCUCUGCUGUCUCAGAGACAUGGAGCAACAUGUGAAGCUGAACAGGACUGCCCAACACAGACUCGCCACCGGCCCUUUAUAUAGACCGGCCUCUUGGACUUAGGACCAGAGAGGCUGCAGGACACCGAGUUGGACCUCUGACGUUACAGUACCCAAGCAGCAUGUGAAGCUGAAAGGAGGAGAUGACCUCCAGCUGACCUCCAGGUGACCUACAGACCAGCUGGUCCUCUGAGCCUCCUCUCCUCAUGACCCUGGACUCAGUGGCAGGAGCAGGAAGUGGUGAUGAUGCAUGAAGUACUGGGAGGACAAAAGGGACAAACUAAGAAAGCAGACUGAGGCAGCGCUCCAUGUGAAGACAUGAAGACCCCCUGCUGUCCAGGACUCCCACCUUCAGGCCUCCUGUGUUCCUGAUCCAAUCAGGUGUGAGGGUCGAUCAGCUGUGAGGGUCGAUCAGGUGUGAGGGUCGAUCAGCUGUGAGGGUCGAUCAGGUGUGAGGGUCGAUCAGGUGUGAGGGUCGAUCAGGUGUGAGGGUCAAUCAGCUGUGAGGGUCGAUCAGCUGUUCAGAGGGACUUCAGGAAAUAGCCUGUCAGACUGAACAUGGGACACUUGAGGACAUGAAGGAAAGACCCUCCUCUGUCAGACUGAACACGGGACUUUGAGGACUGGAAGCUAAG